UGUCAGAAAUACUUUUCUAUAUAAAUGUUAUAUUAAGCACACAUUUUUUAACAGAAUAUGUCUAAAGGAAGACAUUUCUAACACCUAGUAUGCACGUGGAGUGUGAAAUUCAAUAUAUUUUUAUUGCUUGAUUUAAUACAUUAAAUAAUUUUCAAGAUAUGAUCUUGUUCAAUUAUUUGUAAUACACAAUUAUCAAUUGUAAAAUCAUCAAUCUUGUGGAAUAUACAGAUCCACGCAGUAUGUGUUACGGUAUUAACAAAAUUAUUUAAUUUCUUAACAAUUUGAAGAAAUAUGUACAAUAUAUAAUUUUAUACAUA